rnacentral:rRNA from 1 species
GGAUUUUCAUCCUGAGUAACGUAGCUAACGCGUGAAGUCAGCCGCCUGGGGAGUACGGCCGCAAGAUUAAAACUCAAAGGAAUUGACGGGGACCCGCACAAGCGGUGGAUGAUGUGGAUUAAUUCGAUGCAACGCGAAAAACCUUACCUACCCUUGACAUGUCACUAACGAAGUAGAGAUACAUUAGGUGCCCGUAAGGGAAAGUGAACACAGGUGCUGCAUGGCUGUCGUCAGCUCGUGUCGUGAGAUGUUGGGUUAAGUCCCGCAACGAGCGCAACCCUUGUCUUUAGUUGCUACGCAAGAGCACUCUAAAGAGACUGCCGGUGACAAACCGGAGGAAGGUGGGGAUGACGUCAAGUCCUCAUGGCCCUUAUGGGUAGGGCUUCACACGUCAUACAAUGGUGCAUACAGAGGGUUGCCAACCCGCGAGGGGGAGCUAAUCUCAGAAAAUGCAUCGUAGUCCGGAUCGUAGUCUGCAACUCGACUACGUGAAGCUGGAAUCGCUAGUAAUCGCGGAUCAGAAUGUCGCGGUGAAUACGUUCCCGGGUCUUGUACACACCGCCCGUCAUACCAUGGGAGUGGGUUUUGCCAGAAGCCGUUAGCCUAACCGCAAGGAGGGCGACUGCCACGGCAGGGUUCAUGACUGGGGUAAAGUCGUAACAAGGUAGCCGUAUCGGAAGGUGC